rnacentral:rRNA from 1 species
GUCUGUUUGCUAUAAAAAACAGUCUGGCCUGCCCACUGAUUAUUUUAAAGGCCGCGGUAUCCUAACCGUGCGAAGGUAGCAUAAUAAUUAGUCUUUUAAUUGAAGACUGGAAUGAACGGCCGGACAAGAAGAAAACUGUCUCAAUUUUAUAAAUUGAAUUUAACUUUUAAGUGAAAAGACUUAAAUAAUCUAAAAGGACGAUAAGACCCUAUAAAACUUUAUAUAGAAAAGAAAAACUCGUAAACUAUAAGUAUAAAUGACUAAUUCUGUUAAUAUAUUUUGUUGGGGCGACCGAAGUAUAUAAGUAACUGCUUCACUUUAUACACAAUUAUAUUUGCCUAUUUGACCCUUUUUAAAGAUUUAAAGAAAAAGUUACUUUAGGGAUAACAGCGUUAUUUUUUUUGAGAGUCCUUAUCGACAAAAAAGUUUGCGACCUCGAUGUUGAAUUAAAGUUCCACUAUAGUGCAGCAAUUAUAGAAGUAGGUCUGUUCGACCUUUAAAACUUUACAUGAUUUGAGUUCAAACCGGUGUGAG